GGCCGUUUGAAUUUUCCGUUUUUUCUCGGACAGAUUUUUCUGUAUUUAUAGACGAAACUUAGGUCUUGAGGUACCUACUACAAUAGGGUAAAAAAGGAAAUAGUGAAAUCCUCGUUGUGAUCAGAGUCUUUCGAAUAAAAUCGAAAAUAACAAAAACCGUUAUUGCGUCAAUAUUCUCGUAUUCACUCACAUUAUUGGGAAAUCUACAAGGGGAAUCCAAAAUCCCUCAUCUCUCUUAAACAAUAAGACAC